CGUCAGCAUGCCGAGCCCUGCCGCUGAUCAUGGGAUCCAACCGCUCCAGUUGGCAGGGACGGGGGAACCAAGUUUCCACGGCCAUAUUGUGGCCUAGGGGUUAAGUCGAAUGCGCUUCCGCCUACCGCGGAGCCGCUUCCGGCCGGGUAUCUCCAGCCCGAACCCGACAGCUCACCCCGCAGGCAUGGGAGAGGCGAUCA
rnacentral:sRNA from 1 species